ACAGGACUAGGAGCCGCCUCUUUAGGAUACAGCGUAUCCCAAUUUUCAGAUUUCCAAACCCAGAUGCAGAGGGCCAUUGAGGAAACGGCUCAGUCUCUAGCCGCCCUCCAACGACAAAUCACAUCUCUAGCUGGUGUCACCCUUCAAAACCGCCACGCCAUCGACCUACUCACAGCCGAAAAAGGCGAUCUAACCAAACAUUUAACCAGCUUCUCCUCAGAAACUACCAACUUUUAGCCACCAGCGAGGAUGGGACAGAUUCCACAGACGGGCUCACAACCUGCUAACCCAAGCCAGUCAUGACAACCGCCAACUGAUUCCACAAAUUUCUCAAUGAUCCCUGCGCUGACAGCUGGCUCAUCGCCAACCUGUCCCUGCCCCUCAAUUGGCUCACGGCACUGGAGGAUCUAUACCUACAAGGAACAUUACCCCAUGCACAACCCUGACAGUUCUCCCUGUGCCCCCUCCGCACAGCACCCCCCACUCAGCAGGAAGCAGCCAGAUGAACCACGACGCCCAUUUUCCCCCAUUUAAGAAAACAAAAAGGGAGGAAUGUUAGGUAACAUGGGGUACCUUAAAAUGGCGCCGUACCUUAAGAUGGGGCCGGUUCCGGGUUCUUCUCCCCUCCUUGAACGGGCACUGUCUGAACCCGCCAAAGGAGGGCCAAUCAGAAAGAAGCAUCUCCCACCUUCCCUUGGGCCCGCCCCUAGCCCAAUCCACCUAGGCCCAAGGGAUAUAAAACCCAGCACACCAGCAGCCCUCUCUCUCUUCUCUUCCUUCUCCUCUCUCUCUUCUCUUCCUUCUCCGCUCGAUACCUCCAAUAAAGAUCUCUUGACCGCGA